CUAAUUAACAUGAUGAAUUCUGUAAUAUUCUUGAUAGGAAGAGUAUGAAACAUAAUGAGUACUAAAACAACAAACUGAUAAUUAG
rfam:Drosophila busckii chromosome X sequence.